rnacentral:rRNA from 1 species
GAUGAACGCUGGCGGCGUGCCUAAUACAUGCAAGUCGAGCGAACGGACGAGAAGCUUGCUUCUCUGAUGUUAGCGGCGGACGGGUGAGUAACACGUGGAUAACCUGCCUAUAAGACUGGGAUAACUUCGGGAAACCGGAGCUAAUACCGGAUAAUAUUUUGAACCGCAUGGUUCAAAAGUGAAAGACGGUCUUGCUGUCACUUAUAGAUGGAUCCGCGCUGCAUUAGCUAGUUGGUAAGGUAACGGCUUACCAAGGCAACGAUGCAUAGCCGACCUGAGAGGGUGAUCGGCCACACUGGAACUGAGACACGGUCCAGACUCCUACGGGAGGCAGCAGUAGGGAAUCUUCCGCAAUGGGCGAAAGCCUGACGGAGCAACGCCGCGUGAGUGAUGAAGGUCUUCGGAUAGUAAAACUCUGUUAUUAGGGAAGAACAUAUGUGUAAGUAACUGUGCACAUCUUGACGGUACCUAAUCAGAAAGCCACGGCUAACUACGUG